UCACACAGCCUGUUCACACAGUUCCUCAAGCUCCUCCUCCGAGCCUGCAAGAGAAGACAGGAGAGAACAGAGGUCACUGAGGGUCCAGCUAGUCUCCUGCUAAUCCCACCUGUGGAGACUGUGGCUGGGAAGGGACCACAGAGAGGGAGAAGCGGGAAAUACGUCUGGAAAGCUUCCUGGGAGGCUCCUGAUCAGCUUCCAACCCACUCCGUCCCUGAGGGUGUCUGCAGGCUACCUCACACCAAAGGCACACCAUUACCCACUUCACAAAGCAGGUAACUCAAGACUCAAGAGACAACACGAGGGAUGCUGAGCCUGUGGCCUGAACUCUGGCCACAGACUUCACAGACUCAAGCUACUGGAGACUUGGUGGACCACAGGAGGAAGUGUGUGGUAAAAGAGCCAACAUCUUUACAAGGGUUUUCUUGGAGAGAGAGAGAGAGAGACCCAAAGACCAACUAGUCUCGAACGACUUGAUAAACGCCAGGGCAUUGUCAUGUUCAUUUGUUGGCAAUAAAAUCGAGAGUUCUCACUAGCUCAAAUUAAAAGUGUGGCGACUAAAUAUGUCUUUAAUAGGAAAACAGUCCUCUUGAUUGACUAACUGCCUCCAUAAACAGGGCUGAGAAUGGAGAAAAAAGAAAGUGGCUGCACUUAAUGGUGUCUGUUGCUUCUCAAGAAAAGGACCAACGUGAAUAAAGCAGAGACGCGCCCCUCAGUGGCUCUGCCCUCAGUGGCUCUGCCCUCAGUGGCUCUGCCCUCAGUGGCUCUGCCCUGACUACUGUCGCGAUUCUCUCACUCACGGUGACAUGCGGCUCGGCUAGCUAGCACCUCUUUCUCUUCUGACUGCCCCCCAUUUGCUCUGGUUUCCUCUCUUCUCUUCCUUUGCCGCUUGUCUAAUACAUACACAUUUCCUAAGAACAGAUUCUCUCAUCUCUAUGCCCUCUCUUCUGGAGUUCCUGUACACUCCAGUAUUUCCAGAUAAUUCCUAAAUCAGGUCUCUGAAGUCAAAUUGGCCUGGUCUUUCAUAGGCCCAUUAGACAUCAUUUCUUUGUUGUCUUAAUGGUACCCCCAAACUCAACUAUAUGGAACCAAGUACCACCUUCUGCAGCAUGCAACCCUAAGCUAAUAACCAUUUUUGUUGUUGUUGUUUUGUUUUGUUUUUCCUGAGACAGGGUUUCUCUGUGUAGCUUUGGAGCCUGUCCUAGAACUUGCUCUGUAGACUAGGCUGGUCUUGAACUCACAGAGAUCCAGCUGCCUCUGCUCCUGAGUACUAGGAUUAAAGGUGUGUGCCACCACCACCCAGCAUUGUUGUUGUUUUGUUUUUUGAGACAAGGUUUCUCUGCAUAGCCCUGGGUGUCCUGGAACUCACUCUGUAGACCAGGCUGGUCUCGAACUCAGAGACUUAUUUGCCUCUGCCUCCUGAGUCCUGGGAUUAAAGGUGUGCACUACCACCGCCGCCACCACCUGGCGCCAAUAGCCCUUCUUAUCUGACUUUGUUAGGGUCACCACACCCCAGAGUCACUAUGAAUCCUUGCUGUAUCUAAUAACUAGUCUUAGAAAACUACCUUCUCUGUCCCUGGCGUUAGAGGCAUUAAAGCAGACUUCUAACUAGCCUGUCAUCAUUCUAACUCUCUCUGUGAAUCCUGGUAGAACAAUCUUCCUAAACAAAAUGCUAAUCAUAUCAUUGUUCUGUUCAGAUACCAACAAUCUUCUGAAUUAAAUCCAGACUCCUUGGCCUAUCAAAUCGAGAUACGUUAUACAGCCUUUGGAAGCAGUAACUUGGUUUUGCAUUUCAACGCUGACACUUCUAAGAUGUGAGUGAUCUGUCUUAUCUGAAUCUUUAGCAGAAAAUGGGAAAACAGGGCUAGAGAGAUGUUCUAAUAGUUAAGGAGUGUGGAUUGCUCCUGCAGAGUCUGACCUAAGCGCUGGUGUUGGCCAGCUCACACAGCUCAAGAGAGAUCCAGUGCCUCUGCUCUCAGAGGGCAUCCACACUCACAUCCACGUACCCAAACACAUACAUACAAUUAAAAAUACAGUUAAUCGGUUAGAUGUGCUGGUGCGAGCCUUUAAUCCCAGCACGGAAGAGAAAGAAGCAGGUAGAGCUCUGUG